rnacentral:rRNA from 1 species
CCUACGGGAGGCAGCAGUGGGGAAUCUUGCGCAAUGGGCGAAAGCCUGACGCAGCAACGCCGCGUGGGGGAUGAAGGCUCUCGGGUUGUAAACCCCUUUCAGCAGGGACGAAUCAAGACGGUACCUGCAGAAGAAGCCCCGGCUAACUACGUGCCAGCAGCCGCGGUAACACGUAGGGGGCAAGCGUUGUCCGGAUUUAUUGGGCGUAAAGAGCUCGUAGGUGGCUGAGUAAGUCGGAUGUUAAAUCCCCAGGCUCAACCUGGGACACCACCCGAUACUGCUCUGGCUAGAGUCCGGUAGGGGAGCGUGGAAUUCCUGGUGUAGCGGUGAAAUGCGCAGAUAUCAGGAGGAACACCAGCGGCGAAGGCGGCGCUCUGGGCCGGUACUGACACUGAGGAGCGAAGGCGUGGGUAGCAAACAGGAUUAGAUACCCUGGUAGUCCACGCCGUAAACGUUGGGCACUAGGUGUGGGGUCUAUUCAACGGACUCCGUGCCGUAGCUAACGCAUUAAGUGCCCCGCCUGGGGAGUACGCGCAGCAACACAAGAAGUAGACGCGNGAGAGNGCGACGACGACGACGAGGGAGAGG